rnacentral:rRNA from 1 species
UGAACGCUAGCUACAGGCUUAACACAUGCAAGUCGAGGGGCAGCAUGGUCUUAGCUUGCUAAGGCCGAUGGCGACCGGCGCACGGGUGAGUAACACGUAUCCAACCUGCCGUCUACUCUUGGACAGCCUUCUGAAAGGAAGAUUAAUACAAGAUGGCAUCAUGAGUCCGCAUGUUCACAUGAUUAAAGGUAUUCCGGUAGACGAUGGGGAUGCGUUCCAUUAGAUAGUAGGCGGGGUAACGGCCCACCUAGUCUUCGAUGGAUAGGGGUUCUGAGAGGAAGGUCCCCCACAUUGGAACUGAGACACGGUCCAAACUCCUACGGGAGGCAGCAGUGAGGAAUAUUGGUCAAUGGGCGAGAGCCUGAACCAGCCAAGUAGCGUGAAGGAUGACUGCCCUAUGGGUUGUAAACUUCUUUUAUAAAGGAAUAAAGUCGGGUAUGCAUACCCGUUUGCAUGUACUUUAUGAAUAAGGAUCGGCUAACUCCGUGCCAGCAGCCGCGGUAAUACGGAGGAUCCGAGCGUUAUCCGGAUUUAUUGGGUUUAAAGGGAGCGUAGAUGGAUGUUUAAGUCAGUUGUGAAAGUUUGCGGCUCAACCGUAAAAUUGCAGUUGAUACUGGAUAUCUUGAGUGCAGUUGAGGUAGGCGGAAUUCGUGGUGUAGCGGUGAAAUGCUUAGAUAUCACGAAGAACUCCGAUUGCGAAGGCAGCCUGCUAAGCUGCAACUGACAUUGAGGCUCGAAAGUGUGGGUAUCAAACAGGAUUAGAUACCCUGGUAGUCCACACGGUAAACGAUGAAUACUCGCUGUUUGCGAUAUACGGCAAGCGGCCAAGCGAAAGCGUUAAGUAUUCCACCUGGGGAGUACGCCGGCAACGGUGAAACUCAAAGGAAUUGACGGGGGCCCGCACAAGCGGAGGAACAUGUGGUUUAAUUCGAUGAUACGCGAGGAACCUUACCCGGGCUUAAAUUGCAGAUGAAUUACGGUGAAAGCCGUAAGCCGCAAGGCAUCUGUGAAGGUGCUGCAUGGUUGUCGUCAGCUCGUGCCGUGAGGUGUCGGCUUAAGUGCCAUAACGAGCGCAACCCUUGUUGUCAGUUACUAACAGGUUCCGCUGAGGACUCUGACAAGACUGCCAUCGUAAGAUGUGAGGAAGGUGGGGAUGACGUCAAAUCAGCACGGCCCUUACGUCCGGGGCUACACACGUGUUACAAUGGGGGGUACAGAGGGCCGCUACCACGCGAGUGGAUGCCAAUCCCCAAAACCUCUCUCAGUUCGGACUGGAGUCUGCAACCCGACUCCACGAAGCUGGAUUCGCUAGUAAUCGCGCAUCAGCCACGGCGCGGUGAAUACGUUCCCGGGCCUUGUACACACCGCCCGUCAAGCCAUGGGAGCCGGGGGUACCUGAAGUGCGUAACCGCGAGGAGCGCCCUAGGGUAAAACUGGUGACUGGGGCUA